GGGUUGGUGGAACUCUUGCCCCGAUCCGCCAGAUGGGGCAGUAAAUAGGAAAAAAUAAACGGAUUUGAGACGGAAAAACGGGUAAAUUUUACAAUUUGAGACGAAUUCGUGACAGAAAUCGGAAAAAAUUUUGACUCGCCCCGAAAAUUAUUUAUAUUUUAAAAAAAUAUUUCUAAAAGAUAAUGUAUUUAUAAAAACGUUUAAAAUAUAAAUAAGUUAAUUCUCUCAUUUCUAAUGUAUUUGAAACUUUUGAAUUUUAUUUUGAAUUGUGAUUGAUAUUUUUUAUUUUUAUAAUUGAUAUUGUUAAAUUAUAUAUAUAAUAUUAUUAAAAAUUAUUAUUUUAUAUUUUACAAAAUAUUAAUAAUAUUAUAAUCUAUAUCUAUAUCUAUAUCUAUACUACUUAUAAAUGCGUGAGUUUUGAAUUUUUUUCCUCUUUCCCAAAAUGACCAUCCCUAUUAAUAUAAUUCCAAUCAUAUACUAAUAAUAUCAUUCAUUCAACUUUAAUGGAAUAAAUUACAGUCGUACAAUUUUUAUUUUAUUUUUAAAUUAUCAUAAAAUAUAUUAAUUCAUAGUCGUUCGAUCUAAUCUGACUGACGAAUUAAGUAUCUGUCACUUUUUUUUUACCUAAAUUGCCUUUAAAUAGUAUGUAUCAAAUUUCACUUUUUACACGUGUCAUAUCUCCUAAUAACUGCCGCCAACAUAAUAUCAUAUUUUAUCACAAAUAAUAUUCGCAUUUCUUAAAUAUUUUCUUUUCAAAUAAUAUCCGCAUUUCUUAAAUAUUUUUUUUUCUCACACGUAAUAUCCGCUACCUAUAUAAUAUCCAAUCACAUAGUACCUUCCGUAUAUAAUAUUUAAUCAUAUUUUUUUAAAGAUGAAUAUAUAAAAAUUAUCUCAAUUUUACCUACUAAUAUUUAAAAUAUGAGAUAUUUUUUAAUAAAAUAUAACAUAUAAAUUUACAAUUUAAAAUUUUAAAUUUGUAGAUAAAUGUGAUUCAUAAAUUGAUAUUGAUUUGAGAUAAUUAUUAAAAUAAUUGUUGACACGGACAUACCAUUUUUUAGUCGGAAAAAUAUUGCAUUCUAUUUGUGAGAAUAUAAAGAAAUUUAUACUUAUCUAAAUUUUUGUCGAAAAAUAUUUACUGUAGAAUAUUUUUCACAAGCGCCCCAUAAAAUAAUAUUCCAUACAUGUCAAAAAAUAUAAAAAUCUCUAUGUAACAAAUAUUGAAAAUAUUUUGUAUCUACUAUCUCUCAAUUAACUAACUAAAAAAAAUUAGGUUUGAAAAAUAAAAUAAUUUAAAUAAGUUUAUAAAAUCAACUUUAAAUUUUAAAUUUGGUUCAUAAUUUCAAAUGAGAAUUAAUAUUUUAAUUCAAAUUUUGAAAUUAAUUAAAAUUUUAAUAUUUUGGGUGUGUAAACAGUAUUUCAAAUUGAAAAUAAUUAAUUAACUUAAAAAUAUAUCAAAUUUGAAAAAUAGAUGGGAUGAUAAAUAAAUUAAUAUCUUUAAUAAUUAUUUAUAUUCAAAUUAUGGAUUCAAAAUUAAUUUCAAAUUUUGAGUUUUAUUCAUAAAUAUAAAUAUGAAUUUAUUAAUUUAAAAUUUAGAAUUACUUUAAAUUUUUAAAAUUUGGAUACACAUUAAAAAAAAUUAAUUUUAGAAAAAAUUUAACUGUUAAAUAGAUUUAUACUACCAAUAAUUAUUUAAAUUUAAAAUAUAAAUAUAAAUUUAAUUUAUUUAAAUAUUACGUGCAUUGCAUGUGCACUAUAACUAGUUUUAUAAAAAAUAUUAAUUGGCGGGGCGGAUUCGCGCCGCCGGUGGGAGACGGGUUACAGGCGAGGCAGAUUAUAGGAUGUAUUUUUUAACCCGUCACGGAUUCGGGGCAGAAGGCGGGGCAAAAUUUUGCUAGUCGGGGCGGGAGGCGGGGCAGGGCUCCAGCCCCAAAUUCACCCCGUUUGCAUUCCUAAUUUCGGUUCAAUUAGUAGUUAGACCAGCUCAAUUGGUAUCGAGGUCUUGUGGGUUAUUAUUUAUUUAUGUAAUACAUGUUAAAAUAAUAAUAAAAUAAUAAGAGUCCAGCCAUGUUGCUUCCUAAAUUAUAAAGAAGUUAAUUCUUUCAAUUUUUUAACAUUUAGGUCAAUUCUUUUGACUAUUUCUAAUUUUUAGAUUAAUAUUAUUUUCUUAGAGAAUCACUAAACUCUAUAAGAAAAUCACUAAACUCUAAUGUUGCGUUAGGUUUGGGUACAAGUAAGAACUGCUUAUUAUAACGAAUAGGUACAAGUUCAGAUAUAAGCAGAAACUAAGCUGAUUUUAUGUUUUUUUUUUGAAAAUUAGAUUGUAGCUAAAUAUUAUUUGAAUGGUUAGAUUAGAAAUGAGGAAUAUGAGUUAAAAUUUUAAAUUAAAAAUAUUUUAUCUAAUUAAUAAACAUCAAAAUAUUAAUUAAAAUAAUUUAAUAACUUAAUAAAUUUAUUUGCUAUGAAUAUUGUAUAAGAUAAUAAAAAUAUAUUAAUUAAUUAAUUAAUUAAUUAUAAAAAUAAUUUAACUUUUAAUUAGUUAAUAAAUUAUUUUAAUUAGAUAACUAGUGAAAAAAAUAAUUAGAUUAAUAAAAUAUCAAUGGUUGAU
rnacentral:lncRNA from 1 species